GGUUAAGCGACUAAGCGUACACGGUGGAUGCCCUGGCAGUCAGAGGCGAUGAAGGACGUGCUAAUCUGCGAUAAGCGUCGGUAAGGUGAUAUGAACCGUUAUAACCGGCGAUUUCCGAAUGGGGAAACCCAGUGUGUUUCGACACACUAUCAUUAACUGAAUCCAUAGGUUAAUGAGGCGAACCGGGGGAACUGAAACAUCUAAGUACCCCGAGGAAAAGAAAUCAACCGAGAUUCCCCCAGUAGCGGCGAGCGAACGGGGAGCAGCCCAGAGCCUGAAUCAGUGUGUGUGUUAGUGGAAGCGUCUGGAAAGGCGCGCGAUACAGGGUGACAGCCCCGUACACAAAAAUGCACAUGCUGUGAGCUCGAUGAGUAGGGCGGGACACGUGGUAUCCUGUCUGAAUAUGGGGGGACCAUCCUCCAAGGCUAAAUACUCCUGACUGACCGAUAGUGAACCAGUACCGUGAGGGAAAGGCGAAAAGAACCCCGGCGAGGGGAGUGAAAAAGAACCUGAAACCGUGUACGUACAAGCAGUGGGAGCACGCUUAGGCGUGUGACUGCGUACCUUUUGUAUAAUGGGUCAGCGACUUAUAUUCUGUAGCAAGGUUAACCGAAUAGGGGAGCCGAAGGGAAACCGAGUCUUAACUGGGCGUUAAGUUGCAGGGUAUAGACCCGAAACCCGGUGAUCUAGCCAUGGGCAGGUUGAAGGUUGGGUAACACUAACUGGAGGACCGAACCGACUAAUGUUGAAAAAUUAGCGGAUGACUUGUGGCUGGGGGUGAAAGGCCAAUCAAACCGGGAGAUAGCUGGUUCUCCCCGAAAGCUAUUUAGGUAGCGCCUCGUGAAUUCAUCUCCGGGGGUAGAGCACUGUUUCGGCAAGGGGGUCAUCCCGACUUACCAACCCGAUGCAAACUGCGAAUACCGGAGAAUGUUAUCACGGGAGACACACGGCGGGUGCUAACGUCCGUCGUGAAGAGGGAAACAACCCAGACCGCCAGCUAAGGUCCCAAAGUCAUGGUUAAGUGGGAAACGAUGUGGGAAGGCCCAGACAGCCAGGAUGUUGGCUUAGAAGCAGCCAUCAUUUAAAGAAAGCGUAAUAGCUCACUGGUCGAGUCGGCCUGCGCGGAAGAUGUAACGGGGCUAAACCAUGCACCGAAGCUGCGGCAGCGACGCUUAUGCGUUGUUGGGUAGGGGAGCGUUCUGUAAGCCUGUGAAGGUGUGCUGUGAGGCAUGCUGGAGGUAUCAGAAGUGCGAAUGCUGACAUAAGUAACGAUAAAGCGGGUGAAAAGCCCGCUCGCCGGAAGACCAAGGGUUCCUGUCCAACGUUAAUCGGGGCAGGGUGAGUCGACCCCUAAGGCGAGGCCGAAAGGCGUAGUCGAUGGGAAACAGGUUAAUAUUCCUGUACUUGGUGUUACUGCGAAGGGGGGACGGAGAAGGCUAUGUUGGCCGGGCGACGGUUGUCCCGGUUUAAGCGUGUAGGCUGGUUUUCCAGGCAAAUCCGGAAAAUCAAGGCUGAGGCGUGAUGACGAGGCACUACGGUGCUGAAGCAACAAAUGCCCUGCUUCCAGGAAAAGCCUCUAAGCAUCAGGUAACAUCAAAUCGUACCCCAAACCGACACAGGUGGUCAGGUAGAGAAUACCAAGGCGCUUGAGAGAACUCGGGUGAAGGAACUAGGCAAAAUGGUGCCGUAACUUCGGGAGAAGGCACGCUGAUAUGUAGGUGAAGCGACUUGCUCGUGGAGCUGAAAUCAGUCGAAGAUACCAGCUGGCUGCAACUGUUUAUUAAAAACACAGCACUGUGCAAACACGAAAGUGGACGUAUACGGUGUGACGCCUGCCCGGUGCCGGAAGGUUAAUUGAUGGGGUCAGCGCAAGCGAAGCUCUUGAUCGAAGCCCCGGUAAACGGCGGCCGUAACUAUAACGGUCCUAAGGUAGCGAAAUUCCUUGUCGGGUAAGUUCCGACCUGCACGAAUGGCGUAAUGAUGGCCAGGCUGUCUCCACCCGAGACUCAGUGAAAUUGAACUCGCUGUGAAGAUGCAGUGUACCCGCGGCAAGACGGAAAGACCCCGUGAACCUUUACUAUAGCUUGACACUGAACAUUGAGCCUUGAUGUGUAGGAUAGGUGGGAGGCUUUGAAGUGUGGACGCCAGUCUGCAUGGAGCCGACCUUGAAAUACCACCCUUUAAUGUUUGAUGUUCUAACGUUGACCCGUGAUCCGGGUUGCGGACAGUGUCUGGUGGGUAGUUUGACUGGGGCGGUCUCCUCCUAAAGAGUAACGGAGGAGCACGAAGGUUGGCUAAUCCUGGUCGGACAUCAGGAGGUUAGUGCAAUGGCAUAAGCCAGCUUGACUGCGAGCGUGACGGCGCGAGCAGGUGCGAAAGCAGGUCAUAGUGAUCCGGUGGUUCUGAAUGGAAGGGCCAUCGCUCAACGGAUAAAAGGUACUCCGGGGAUAACAGGCUGAUACCGCCCAAGAGUUCAUAUCGACGGCGGUGUUUGGCACCUCGAUGUCGGCUCAUCACAUCCUGGGGCUGAAGUAGGUCCCAAGGGUAUGGCUGUUCGCCAUUUAAAGUGGUACGCGAGCUGGGUUUAGAACGUCGUGAGACAGUUCGGUCCCUAUCUGCCGUGGGCGCUGGAGAACUGAGGGGGGCUGCUCCUAGUACGAGAGGACCGGAGUGGACGCAUCACUGGUGUUCGGGUUGUCAUGCCAAUGGCACUGCCCGGUAGCUAAAUGCGGAAGAGAUAAGUGCUGAAAGCAUCUAAGCACGAAACUUGCCCCGAGAUGAGUUCUCCCUGACUCCUUGAGAGUCCUGAAGGAACGUUGAAGACGACGACGUUGAUAGGCCGGGUGUGUAAGCGCAGCGAUGCGUUGAGCUAACCGGUACUAAUGAACCGUGAGGCUUAACCUU
rnacentral:rRNA from 1 species